rnacentral:lncRNA from 1 species
CUUUCGGAGCUGUGCGGCGCGCUGAGCAGGAAUGGCAAUGUGGACCUCUGAUGGAACAUCUGGUGGGAUCUCACAGUCAGUUCUGUGGCAAAGGAGGAUGAAGACUUAAAGAGGACUCAACAGGAAGCUGGAUAACAGAAAGAGAGCAAUGUGCUAGAAUAGAAGACCAGAAAAUGAAAGAUAUGAAAAAAAGGUGGAGUUUAAGGCUGGAUAUACAGCUUGAAAAGGCUGCGGUGACAAGUGGACAUGCAGUGACUACCUUUUGUACCUUCCUGUUUCUGAGGUGCCUGGAUGGAGGUUCAAAUAGAAGAUAGUGUCAGAUAUACAUUGUGUUGUCAAAAUUUUACCAUUAAAGUGCAUUACAACAUGAA